rnacentral:sRNA from 1 species
AGGAUGGCGGCGGAGCAGGACCCCGAGGCGCGGGCGGCGGCGCGGCCGCUGCUCACUGACCUCUACCAGGCCACCAUGGCGUUGGGCUAUUGGCGCGCGGGCCGGGCGCGGGACGCCGCCGAGUUCGAGCUCUUCUUCCGCCGCUGCCCGUUCGGCGGCGCCUUCGCCUUGGCCGCCGGCUUGCGCGACUGUGUGCGCUUCCUGCGCGCCUUCCGCCUGCGGGACGCCGGUAGUCACCCGUCCGCGCGACGAGCCCCCCACGCCCGGCAGAAACCCCCACCUAUGGCCGGUGGAAGUCCUUGCCCCCCAGUGGAACCCCCCAUGUCCCACGACCGGUCUGUCCCCGCGCUGGUCUCAGCGCAGUUACCUCGUUUCCAGACGUGCAGUUCCUGGCCUCGGUGCUGCCCCCAGACACGGACCCUGCGUUCUUCGAGCACCUUCGGGCCCUCGACUGCUCCGAGGUGACGGUGCGAGCCCUGCCCGAGGGCUCCCUCGCCUUCCCGGGCGUGAGUAGGGGUAAGCGGGCGGCGCGGCGGCCACGGGGUGCUGGGCCGAGCGCGGAGCUGACUUCUCUCCCCGCAGGUGCCGCUCCUGCAGGUGUCCGGGCCGCUCCUGGUGGUGCAGCUGCUGGAGACACCGCUGCUCUGCCUGGUCAGCUACGCCAGCCUGGUGGCCACCAAUGCAGCGCGGCUUCGCUUGAUCGCAGGGCCAGAGAAGCGGCUGCUAGAGAUGGGCCUGAGGCGGGCUCAGGGCCCCGAUGGGGGCCUGACAGCCUCCACCUACAGCUACCUGGGCGGU